UACGUAGGGUGCGAGCGUUGUCCGGAAUUACUGGGCGUAAAGAGCUCGUAGGUGGUUUGUCGCGUUGUUCGUGAAAACUCACAACUCAAUUGUGGGCGUGCGGGCGAUACGGGCAGACUGGAGUACUGCAGGGGAGACUGGAAUUCCUGGUGUAGCGGUGGAAUGCGCAGAUAUCGGGAGGAAUACCAGUGGCGAAGGCGGCUUCUUGGCCUGUUCUUGACGCUGAGGCGCGAAAGCUGGGGGAGCAAACGGG
rnacentral:rRNA from 1 species